CUACGGGAGGCUCCAGUAAGGAAUAUUGCGCAAUGGAGGCAACUCUGACGCAGCCAUGCCGCGUGCAGGAAGAAGGCCUUAUGGUCGUAAACUGCUUUUAUUUAGGAAUAAACCCCCGAACGUGUUCGGGGCUGAAGGUACUAAACGAAUAAGCACCGGCUAACUCCGUGCCAGCAGCCGCGGUAAUACGGAGGGUGCAAGCGUUAUCCGGAUUUAUUGGGUUUAAAGGGUGCGCAGGCGGGCUAUUAAGUCAGUGGUGAAAUCCCGGGGCUCAACUCCGGAACUGCCAUUGAUACUGAUAGUCUUGAGUUUGGUUGAAGUGGGCGGAAUGUAGCAUGUAGCGGUGAAAUGCAUAGAUAUGCUACAGAACACCAAUCGCGAAGGCAGCUCACUAAGCCAAAACUGACGCUCAUGCACGAAAGCGUGGGGAUCAAACAGGAUUAGAUACCCGAGUAGUC
rnacentral:rRNA from 1 species